rnacentral:rRNA from 1 species
AGUCGUUAAGGGCGCACGGUGGAUGCCUUGGCAUCAGGAGCCGAAGAAGGACGUGGCAACCUGCGAUAAGCCUCGGGGAGUUGGUAAGCGAGCGGUGAUCCGAGGGUGUCCGAAUGGGGAAACCCCGCGGCAUGUCAUGUGUCGUGACCCGUGCCUGAAUAUAUAGGGCAUGUGGGGGGAACGUGGGGAAGUGAAACAUCUCAGUACCCACAGGAAGAGAAAACAAUAGUGAUUCCGGGAGUAGUGGCGAGCGAAACUGGAAGAGCCUAAACCUGCGGGCGUGUAAGACGGUAGUCGUUGCGCUGGUGGGGGUUGUGGGGUCUGCGCGUGGUGGUUCUACCGGGCCAUCGGGCGUGCUGCUGGUAUAGCCGAACACGUUGGGAAGCGUGACCGUAGUGGGUGAGAGUCCCGUAGGUGAAAUGCUGGUGUGCGUGUCUAGUGCGGUGUCCCCGAGUAUCACGGGACUCGUGGAAUCUCGUGUGAAUCUGCCAGGACCACCUGGUAAGGCUAAAUACUUCCUGAUGACCGAUAGCGGAUCAGUACCGUGAGGGAAUGGUGAAAAGUACCCCGGGAGGGGAGUGAAAUAGUACCUGAAACCGUGUGCCUACAAUCCGUCAGAGCCUCCUUGUUGGGGUGAUGGCGUGCCUUUUGAAGAAUGAGCCUGCGAGUUAGCGGUACGUGGCGAGGUUAACCCGUGUGGGGUAGCCGUAGCGAAAGCGAGUCCGAAUAGGGCGAUUUUAGUCGCGUGUCCUAGACCCGAAGCGGAGUGAUCUAGCCAUGGGCAGGGUGAAGCGACGGUAAGACGUCGUGGAGGCCCGAACCCACCUAGGUUGAAAACUGGGGGGAUGACCUGUGGUUAGGGGUGAAAGGCCAAUCAAACUCUGUGAUAGCUGGUUCUCCCCGAAAUGCAUUUAGGUGCAGCGUUGCGUGUUGCUUGCUGGAGGUAGAGCUACUGGAUGGCCGAUGGGCCCUACAAGGUUACUGACGUCAGCCAAACUCCGAAUGCCGGUAAGUGUAAGCGUGGCAGUGAGACUGCGGGGGAUAAGCUUCGUAGUCGAGAGGGAAACAGCCCAGACCAUCAACUAAGGCCCCUAAGCGUGUGCUCAGUGGGAAAGCAUGUGGAGUUGCUUAGACAACCAGGAGGUUGGCUUAGAAGCAGCCAUCCUUGAAAGAGUGCGUAAUAGCUCACUGGUCAAGUGAUUCUGCGGCGAUAAUGUAGCGGGGCUUAAGUACACCGCCGAAGUUGUGGCAUUGCCUCUUGUGAUGAGCCUUCGUGGUUCAGUCGAGGUGAUGGGUAGGGGAGCGUCGUGUGGGUGGUGAAGCUGCGGAGUGAUCCAGUGGUGGAACCUACACGAGUGAGAAUGCAGGCAUGAGUAGCGAAAGACGGGUGAGAAACCCGUCCGCCGGAUGACCAAGGGUUCCAGGGUCAAGCUAAUCUGCCCUGGGUGAGUCGGGACCUAAGGCGAGGCCGACAGGCGUAGUCGAUGGACAACGGGUUAUUAUUCCCGUACCGGCGAAGAACCGCCCAUACCGAGGCCGGGGAUACUAACCAUCCGCUGCUGCACGUGUGCCUGUACGCGCUUCACUUGUGGAGUGUGUGCAGGUGGUGUAGUGGUGCGUGGGACCUGAUCUGGUAGUAGGUAAGCGUAUUAACAGGUGUGACGCAGGAAGGUAGCCGGGCCGUGCGAUGGUUGUCGCGGUCUAAGGUGGUAGGCCGUCUCUUAGGCAAAUCCGGGAGACAUUGAGGCUGAGAGCUGAUGGGACCCCACGUUUGGUGGGGGAUCCGGUGAUCCUAUGCUGCCGAGAAAAGCAUCGACGUGAGGUUCUAGCCGCCCGUACCCCAAACCAACUCAGGUGGUCAGGUAGAGAAUACCAAGGCGAUCGAGAUAAUCGUGGUGAAGGAACUCGGCAAAAUGCCCCCGUAACUUAGGGAGAAGGGGGGCCCGG